CUGUGGAAGUGGGGUCCCCGGGGUCAGCCGUUGCCCCCUCGCCCGCCCUGGACUUGCUGCCUGCCCUGGGUCAUCUGUUCUGGCCCAUCAGCGCCGAGGACAAGGAGCAGCAGCCCACCCAGAUCAAGUCACUGUGCAUGAACUGUUACCGCAAUGGCAUGACGCGCCUCCUGCUCACCAAGAUUCCCUUCUUCAGAGAAAUAAUCGUGAGCUCCUUUUCCUGCCACCACUGUGGCUGGAACAACACGGAGAUCCAAUCGGCAGGCAGGAUCCAGGACCAGGGAGUGCGCUACACUUUGAGCAUCAGGGCUCUGGAGGACAUGAACAGAGAAGUGGUGAAGACUGACUCUGCUACCACAAGGAUUCCUGAGCUAGAUUUUCAAAUUCCUGCCUUUAGCCAGAAAGGAGGUCUGAACACUGUUGAAGGAUUGAUCACCCGUGCUAUCUCUGGCCGGGAGCAGGACUAGCCUGCGCGAAGGGCAACAAAGAUGCCACAGCUGAAAGAAUUGAUGAGUUCAUUGUCAAACUGAAGGAGCUAAAGCAAUCAGCCUCCCCUUUCACUCUGAUCAUUGAUGAUCCCUCAGGGAACAGCUUUGUGGAAAACCCACAGGCUGCUCAGAAAGAUGAUGCCCUGGUGAUCACACACUACAACCAGACCCGACAGCAGGAAGAGAUGCUGGGGCUCCAAGCAGAAGCACCAACAGAGAAGCCAGAAGAGGAAGAUCUCAGAAAUGAAGUGCUCCAGUUUAACACAAACGGCCCAGAAUGCAAUGCCCCCACUCAGACCAACAUGAAGCUAGUACAAAUCCCUCACUUUAAGGAGGGACCAAGUACAAGAACUGCGUGCAUCAGACCAAUGAGGUGAAAUCUGGAGAAGCAGUAGAACCCUUGGGCACCAGGAUCACCCUCCACAUCACAGGUCCCUCAGAUAUGACCAGAGACCUCCUCAAGUCUGAGACUUGUAGUGUGGAAAUCCCAGAGCCAGAAUUUGACUGGGAAUGGCCAUCCUCAGGUGCAAGUUCACCACACUAGAAGGGCUGCUGAAAGAUAUCUGGGAACUGGUGACCAAAAACCCUUUCACACUGGGCGACAGUUCCAAUCCUGGCCAGACGGAGAGACUGCAGGAGUUUAGCCAGAAGAUGGACCAGAUCAUCGAAGGUAACAUGAAGACCGACUUUAUUAUGGAUGAUUCAGCAGGAAACAGUUACUUGCAGAAUGUGUAUGCAACUGAAGAUGAUCCUGAGAUGAAGGCGGAGCAUUAUAAGCACACCUUUGACUAAAAUGAGGAGCUAGAGCUCAAUGACAUGAAGACAGAGGGCUAUGAGGCAGGCCUGGCUCCACAACGGUAGCAGUGGGUGGGUCAAGGGCCAGCUCUCCAGCGCUGCUCAUUCUGCAGGUUAUUUAUUAGUAUUGGAAGAAGGCUGGGAGUGUCUUGCCCACCAGCCCUUGCCCAUGGUGGGGAGGACAUCUUGUCUGAGUCAGAGAUCUAGGCACAUUUUCUAAACAGCUUGUAAUGCAAGUGUGAGCCUAUUGUGUUACUUGACCUUAUUUUGAGGCUUUGAAUUGGCCUAGGAAGAAACCCAGAAAUGAACCAGGGGUAUGUCAUUAUCACUUUUUUCAUAUCAAGUCUUUACCCUCCCUCCACAUAAUGCUCUGUCCUCUAAGGUUGGAACUCUGAAGUUGGAGAAAGUGGAAUAAAAUUACACCUGGAAAAUGAAAUAAAAUAUUCUGGUAUCAGCAUUUAGCUAAAUAGAUCAAUGGGGCAAAUUUUCUGAAAAAGUUAGAAACACACAUAAGUAGGAACUUAGGAUAUAAGAGGUGACACUGCAAAUCAGCAGGGAAAGGAUGACUAUUCAAUAAAUGGCACUGUGACUAUUGGCUAAUAAUAUUUUCUAAGAGAAAAAUUAGAUUCGUACCUCACUGUGUGAACAAAAAUAAAUUUCAGAUGUGUUAAGGAAAAGCAGUAAACAUUUAGACAGAACUACAGGAAAAUAUUUCAAUGACAUCCAAGGAGGGUAGGGUUUCUUAAACAAUACAAAACCAAAAAUUAUCAUGGAAAAGUGAGAAGUUGAAGUAGAUAAUUUUUUUAAACUUCUUAAUGACAAAUGGCACUAACAGCAAAGCAAGAAGACAAACACAGACUUGGAGAAAAUAGUUAUAUCCCACAUUUCCAACCAAAGAUUACUAUCCAAAAUGUACAACUAGUUCCUACAAAUAAGCAAGAAAAAGAGCAACAACCGAACAUCAAAAAAGCUUAAGGAUGUUAACAAGCAAUCGGCAAAAGAGGACAUUUAAUGGUCUAUAGACGCAUGAAAAUGUGCUCGCCUUUAUUAGUAGUCAAGGAGAUGCAAAUUAAAACAAAUAGAUACUAUUUCAUGCCUAUUAGAGUGGGAAUUUCUUGAAAAAACUCUGACAAUACCAAAAGUUGAUGAGAAUGGAGAAAUGGAUACUUACAUCCACUGCUAGUGGGCAUGUAAAAAUGACAGACCCACUGUAGAGAGCGAUUUGGCAACACCUGGUAAAGUUAAUGCAUAACCUAUGACCAAAAAUUCUGCCACUAUAUGUCUAGAAGUUCCCAAGAGACACGUGGGUCCAAGGAGAUAUGAACAAAAGCACAUUCUUUCAGCACUCUGGGUAAUAGCUUAAAAGUGGAAACAAGCUACCUGACCUUCAGGAGCAAAAUGGGCAAAUCAAAUGUGGAUUAUUCAUGCAAUGCAAUGCUGCACAGCCAUUAAAAUGAGUGAACUAGAUCCUUAUCACCUACAUGGAUACAUCUAAAAUGUGUAAUGAUAAACUAGAAAGAUGCAACAUAAAUAUUUAUACAAUAUAAUUUACAUAAAAUGUAAAGUACAUGAAACGAUAGUAUAUAUAAUUUACUAAUAUACGUUAAAGAUACUCAGAUCUUCCUGGUUAUGGUUCACAUAUAUGAAGGGGGGAGAGAGAGGCCUCCUAAACCAGGUGUCCGAAUAUUACAACAUCUAGAAAGACUCUUGAACUUACACUUCAUAAAAGAUAAAAGGAGUGUUUUUUUAAAGAGCAACUGAGCUACUAAUGAGAAUUUGGCACUAUUUAUGUUUUUAUGUAUAAAGAACCCUAAAGGACAUUCGAUGGAUUCUGGUAUCGGUUGCCAGUUCUUCUUCACUUAGGAACUGAUGCUACUAACCCUUAGUUGGUGGGGCUAAGAGAACAGUUCUGGCCUAGCUCCUGUCUCCUACAGGUCCUUCAGGAGCAAAAUGGGCAAACAAAAUGUGGAUUAUACAUAGAGUGCAACACUGGGUUAUUCUCCCUCACCCAGCCUACUAGUCUGCCCAGAAAAUCCCCAUCCUGCUUCUGUUGGAUUCUUUCCUGUGUUUCCUUUGCCACUUGCUGAAAGUACAGUACCAUUCUAGCAUCCCAAGUUUUACUUGCUGAUUUCUGUUGAAGACUCUACAGCCCAACUCUGCCUUUCUGAUGGGUCUGGAAGGCAGUGUGCCUAUUCAGUACAUGUGCCUAUUCAGGGGAGAUGCCUCCCUGGACAGGGUUAGCUUUUCUCUAGGUGCUACAAUGCUGGGCAGAGGACCUUAAAUCUCCUUUGGUUUGGAGUGACAGAACCAUAAUCCUUCCUGAGCUCCUUUUUUAAACACUCAUACAUACACACAUGCUUUCAUAUACAUGCACAUGUACACACACUCAGACAAAAAAAUGCACACACAAAUACCUACACCACUCCCUUCUCUGCAACAGGAGUCGGGACUGCUUGGUUACUCUAAAUCCAGUAUCGUAUAGGUGUUGUGUGGCAGAUCUGAUUUUAUAAUGGAAGACAAUGGGAAUAAUAGGAUUUGCUAUUCACGAACACAUAGAUCUCAAAUAUCAAAGGACAACUGUAUGAUACCAUUGGAACCAUUAUAACACAGUAGCCGUCUCCCACUUGCCAAGCUCAAAGCAUAUAACUUUUCUUUUUCACGUUGGGAGCAGAGGUGAUUGAAUUAUACUCCUCAGUUCUUAUCCCAUUACCGUGACUGUAUGUGAGGUCCCUCUCUAGUUUUACAACUGUGCUUCCUUUUAUAUUCCCCUUUGUGUCUGAUUCCACUUUCAUUUCCCUUGCCCCCACCCACAGGCAUCUGCUGGAAUGGGUUUGAUAUUUGCCCAAUUGUUAUUUAUCCUGUUGCUUUUCUACUGGGACGGCACGGCAAGAGGAUGUUUAUCUCUGAUUCAUUAUGCUGAUUCAUUUUUGUUAAGCAGCCACACAAUUUCAGGUAUAGUGCUGGAGUGGAUCCCACUGUGGAACCUAGCAGCCAAACUGAACUGAACAUCUGUUUAAUUUAAAUGGUGGGUCCUGGGGUGUCAGUUCCAUUAUUUUGUUUGUAUUACAAAACUUGGCUUACAAGAUCACACUCUUGUUUAAAAAAAAAAAAAAGUGUCCUUUAAAUUGGGAAAAUGCUCAUCUGUCCUGAAUGAGUUAAGAGUGCUUCUGCCUGCAAGCAGAGUGUGCGGUGACUCACUGUCCCAUGAAGACGCCUUCCCUUCUACCUUAAGACUGCGUCUGUCCCGCAGAACGCCACGUGCGGGCGUCCCUGGAACCUGGCCCAUAGGUGGCAGUCUCCCUUCAUCGUUCCCGGACUACGAACCUCCGAAGGGCAGCCUGAGAAAGCAGUUGCUUUUGCUUUUUCUUCGGGUUUCCUAAUAUUUAAUGUUCCCUCCACUCACCUUCCCCCUCCAUCCCACAGAGAGUGUAGAGAUUGCAUCCCUGGAGGCUAGCAAACGACAAAAGAAACUUCGUCUGGAACCAGUCAAAGUCGGGAGACCUGCGUUGUGCCGACUCUCGAUGCGAUUGUUUUGGAAUUUUGCUGAAGCUCUCUUGCAGAAUUGCUCUGUAAAUGGCAAGAAGAAAUGCCUUUCACUAUAAACAGAAAAUAAAGCUUUCACAAGUUGU
ensembl:lncRNA novel transcript